AUGGUGACUAGGCUGGGUAGACUUAUUCUGGUCAAUCAGGUCAUGCGAGCGCGUCCAACGCAUCACAUGAUUAUUGUUGAAGCUCCUAAAUGGGCGGUGGAGAAAGUGAACAAAGGAUGCCGGGCCUUCUUCUGGGCCGGAUCUGAGGAGACACAUGGAGGGAAAUGUGUUGUGGCAUGGGACAGGGUGUGCAAACUGAAGAACUUUGGCGGGUUGGGAGUGGUUGACCUGCACAAACAUGGCAUUGCGCUAAUAUUGAGAUGGGAAUGGCUGAAGAGAACUGAUCCAUCGCGGCCAUGGCAGGGGCUGUGCAACAUGGUCGACAAGCAGGCCCAGGAGGCAUUCACGAGCUUGGUCAGCUGGCAGAUCGGCGAUGGAUCACAGACGCUUUUUUGGAAAGAUAGAUGGCUUCAUGGUUACACGGUAAAGGAGAUUGCGCCGCUUCUAGCGAGGAAAGUCAGGACACAGGUGGCCAACAGGAGGUUGGUGAGAGAGGGGCUCUUUAUGCACGAGUGGAUCAAUGACAUUAGGGGAGAGCUGGACACAGAAAGCCUGGCACAAUUCAUUAGAUUAUGGGAGGCUUUGCUGGAGGUUCAGUUGGCACAGGAGGUGGAGGAUAGACCAAUCUGGGCUUGGAACACCUCUGGAACCUACACGGCGGCAUCAGCUUAUAAGAUGAUGUGCGAAGGGGGGAUCAGGUUCUAG
rnacentral:rRNA from 1 species